GAGCCACAUCUGCAGCCCUCCUGGAACUCAGUCUGGUGAAGGAAACAGAAGAAGGAAUAGAGGCAGCUCUGCUGGUGGGGAUUGGGGCUGGGUCUCCAGAACAAAGGCAGAGCCUGCUGUAUGUAAAUGGGAGGAACAAAGCUGGCAGGUAUCUGAUGAGGGGACAGAGAGUUCAGGGAAAGUAGGAGAUGGGAAGGCCAGCUGGCCAGGCAACUGGGCCCUCAGGGAGGAUCUAAUAGGUUGCCAAGGGCUCCAGGAGCCACUGACAAUGAUCAAGAAGGGAUGUGAGUGACACAAACCAGGUUGUUACCUUAUUUUCUAAAGUGCCUUGAAUCCUCUGUUUGACUUAAUGAAACAGUUGAGAAUUCAGGGAGUACAUCCUUGGUUUCAUAUAACUUACAAUUUUAUAGACACAGAAAGUUCCUUGGAUUAGUCCAAUGUCACUCCACCAGAUGAGAUUUAAUGGCAGGGCUGGGAUGGGAACUGGGCUACUCAGAUCUGACUCCUGGGGUCUGACCUCGUACUUAUUGCCUGCCCUGCACCUCCAGAUGAUGCCCUCUGGCUGCACGCGGGACCACCCCACAAUGAAUACUUGGAGCAGAGUUUCCAGGGCCUGAGCGGCAUCCUGAAUCUGCCUCAGCCAGAGCCUGUGGAGGAGGCCGCCCGGCGGCGCGCAGAGCUUACAGGUCCUGCUCUGGAGGCCUGGACAGAUGGGGAACUGAGCCGCUUCUGGUCUGUGGCAGGACUGUGUGCCAUAGGCCCCUCUGCCUGCCCCUCCCUGGAUCGCUGCAGACUGACCAGCUGGAGCUCUCUGUCCCCAGACCCCAAAUCAGAGCUGGGGCCUGUCAAAUCAGAUGGGCGACUCAGGUAGCAGGGCCCCAGCCAGCACACCCGGAGAACCCGGGAAUUGCACCUUACAGACAAUGGAGGGCUAUCCCCUCCCACAGGCAGGAACCAGAGGCCCCCCGGGGGUACACCACAUCAGCCAUCCAGAGCCCGCACAGAGGGCAGCCAAGGUGGGCUAAUGUCUCUGCUAGGGACCAGAGGGUUGACAGGAAGGGAGAAGGGCUCCAGCAGCAUUCCGAACCCAACUCUUCCUCCCCCUCCUCUCUAGUUUGUUUGUUAUUUUUAUUUAAAAUGGGUGUGUGGGGGAGGAACUAGAAAUAAAAGAUGUGCAAUAGGGCUCAGAGCAGCCCCAGGAAGUGGGCCAUGGCUGGGCGGAGCGGGGCCUUUUGAGCCCAUCUGCUACUGCUCUGGAGAAGCUGGGUCUGCUUCGCUCUCCAGGGCUGGGUCCCCCAGCCUGGGCUGUGGUGCUCAUGGCUGAGGCCCUGCAAGGGUACAGGUACCCUGCCAGCUCUGAGGCCCAGAGAACAGGUGUUCAGGAGCCACCGUGGAGCUGGGCUCUAGAGGGAUAGCCUCUCCCCUGGUAGCCAGGGGACCCUAGAGCAGUGAGGGAGUCUGGCUCUAGGACUUUCUAGCACACCCUGCCCCUUGAUGGGAAAGGCAGGGCAUCAGGGCCUGCUGAGACCAUUACAGUUUCCCAGGUACUCCCAGGUGUGCCCUGGGGCAGUGAGCCUCAUUAGCAGUGUGGGAAGCUUGUCAGGGGCUCAGAAGAACCCAGAGUCGCAUUGUGCCUGAAGCUCGGUGUGAAGUCUGAAAUAUGCAACAGAAGAAAUAUAUCUCUAUCUCUCUAAGCAGCCUC
rnacentral:lncRNA from 1 species